AUCAGGACUUUACAAAAAUUCCAUGAAGAUGAGUAACCAGCAGCUAAUCAAGGUCUGUCAAGAAGCCUUCAUCCGCUGUGCGCCGUGGACACCAGUUACCUUCAGACUGCAACAAAGCAGGAUAAUACAAUCAACAACAGGCAACAAUAGACAAUAUAUUGAAGCUAUAAAGUGUUUGGAGGCUUUUGGUGUUCGCAGUGAUAUUGACUCUGUGUGCGCACAUCUGAGAACUUUUAAAGAUUCUGAAAUCGCCAAGAGAGUGUUCUGUAAUAUUCCUGAAGGGCCACAAGGACAGCCUUGGAGCUUACCUGCUGCUGUCGACCUUUCUGUUUCCGUGGAGGUAAAACACAGCAUGGCUUACCAAGCUAGAAAGCUCUUUAAGGAGUUCCUGCGUGUCUUCCUUAGUCUCUGCCAGAACCUCAUUGAAGAUAAUCAGUCUCUUGAGCAGAGACUGAAAGGCGCUUUCAUUGAUGUUUUCGAAGGACUGACAGAUUCUAACUUCAGUCUUGAGCCUGGCUGGAACAAAAAACUUAUACGCAAGCAAAGCUCCAUUUGUUAUGCAAUACAUCUCGUCCAUCGCUACCUCAUAGACUUUCCAGAGUAUUACAAAACGAUGAUCAGUGAUCUGGCCAUCCUUGCUCCUAAACAAUGGGGAAUGUACCAGCGAGGAAAUAAGUAUUCAGGAGACUACACAAAGUGGUGUAUACCUGAAACAUUUAGAGGAUUUGAAUUGGACACCGAAUCUGACACACCAAGGGACUGGGAUGCCAUGCAGGGAGAAAUGAUAGCUUAUGCUGAGAGGUCUACAUUACUGUCUCCUGAAAAACGUACAAGAGUGGCGGAUUCGUCGAGUUCGGAGGAAGAAGGAUCGUCCUUACCUAAGAUGAGUCGCACAGAGCGCUCAAACUUGACAUUGCGACAAUCUACACCACCUGACAUUGUCGAUGACACUUCUUCCUCCUCUCCAGUGUCAUCACCAUUAGAGGAGGAAGAGUUUAAUUAUGAAGGACAUGACGAGAGUGGCGGUACCGAGGACGAGGUGGUGACGAGAAAUACAGCAAAGAUGGACACGGCUAGAGCGAUGACCUUUAGUCCUCAGCCUUCCACCUCUCGUGAAGAGGAACAACCGUCGACUUCCAGACAAGCAGACGUCAGGGCCGUGGAGACAACUGAUAUAACCGUUUCUUUUCGUUCUUCUACAGGAGGCAUCAGACAAGCAUCUUUUACACUGGAUAAUGCUGGCGUUUUUUCUUGUUCUUUUACAAGAGGCAUCAGACGAGCAUCUUUUACACUGGAUAAUGCUGGAAAUAUUAAACAAAGAAACACAGACGCCUGAUGUUCCCUGAUUUGUGGAUAAAUGUCAGAAAUGCAAGAAUAUGCUAGGGAAACGUGGCCUAACUAACGAUUUCACAGAAUGACUUUAACAAAGUUUAUAUUGUGACUGAUGACUUUGUCAGAAGUGAUGUAUCAAAAACUCAUUCUGUGGACGUGGCUACAGCUCCAGCAAAUGGAUUUUUAAUAUUACAAAAAUGAUCCUGACGAGAGCUUCAAUCGAUAAGCUCACGUGAUUAGCCGCAGCCACACCUGCGCAAGGACGCACACGUCACGUGACGAACUGUUUCGAUCCGCGUGGUCUUUGUUGAUGCCCGCAGGAUGCUGUGAAGCGUCGGUACCCGUGUUUGUGUUGCUGACAAAGGACCCCAGGUAUGGAGGCGGCCUACAUUUUGCAUCAGAUUUGAACACCUUUUCACACCACCCGUGUUUCCACACCUCGGUUCCAGGUCCGCGCACGAAUCGCAUGACAACAUCCCUACUCACCCACUGCCAUCAUCAAUCGAGAGAAAGAAAACAGAAUCAUGUUGUCGAUAUUUUCGAUCAGAAGUGGUGUGUACAAGACAGGAGUAGUGAUUCUCUUCCUUGCAGCAGUUCUAGAGCUGGUGGCGUUUGUGUCGCCGUACUGGGCCAAGAAUGGUGAGCACUACAGCGGUCUGUGGAAGGACUGCCAGCCCGACGGCUCUUGUUCAUCCUUCAGCAUGUACUAUAAAGAGCCGAAUCUGCUAAACAGUUGUGAUGCUUCAUCAGACUGCAAGUGCAAGCCCAACUAUCAAAUCACCAUCAGAAGUGAACAAGAGUGUAUACUUGCGCCGUGGUUCCACGCCGCUAGAGGGCUCCAAGUUUUCUGCUUCAUCUACAUGGUCAUCGCUGUGGCCUUCGUCAUCUUUCUCAACGCCAGGAGAGCGACAGACGACGGCUGCUACGGUCGAGUUGUCGAGGCUGUCACAGGCUGUGCUGGUGUGACCGGCCUGACAGGAGGCAUCGUGUACCUGGUUUGUCUACCUGCGCACCUGAACUGGUGUCUCAUAGUCAGCAUCCUGACGGCUUUGCUUUUCCUGUUGUCAGCUGGCCUCGUGGCUUACAGCAGCAGACACACCAAGCACUCCAUCGCCAGACUUACUGAUACGGACAAUCGUAAAUUAAGACUUUAGUAACAGCAACAUUUUUUUUUUUUUUUAAAUUUUUUUUAUCAUUUCCAGUUAACACCGUCCCUCCAGACUUGAAACACUUUGGUAGAAACGAAUUCCUGUCUACAUAUGUAGUGAUGGCCCUGCUUUCUGUGUUAACAUGUUUCCUAAAAAAACACUGCACUUGCUAGAAAUAUGUGUAAAUACAUUUUGCAAAUUUCUUAAAAUAAAACAAUGAUGAGAAAAAA
rnacentral:misc_RNA from 1 species